AUUGAACGCUGGCGGCAGGCCUAACACAUGCAAGUCGAGCGGAUGAAGGGAGCUUGCUCCUGGAUUCAGCGGCGGACGGGUGAGUAAUGCCUAGGAAUCUGCCUGGUAGUGGGGGAUAACGUCCGGAAACGGGCGCUAAUACCGCAUACGUCCUGAGGGAGAAAGUGGGGGAUCUUCGGACCUCACGCUAUCAGAUGAGCCUAGGUCGGAUUAGCUAGUUGGUGGGGUAAAGGCCUACUAAGGCGACGAUCCGUAACUGGUCUGAGAGGAUGAUCAGUCACACUGGAACUGAGACACGGUCCAGGCUCCUACGGGAGGCAGCAGUGGGGAAUAUUGGACAAUGGGCGAAAGCCUGGUCCAGCCAUGCCGCGUGUGUGAAGAAGGUCUUCGGAUUGUAAAGCACUUUAAGUUGGGAGGAAGGGCAGUAAGUUAAUACCUUGCUGUUUUGACGUUACCAACAGAAUAAGCACCGGCUAACUUCGUG
rnacentral:rRNA from 1 species